UACAGAGGUCCCGAGCGUUGUUCGGAUUCAUUGGGCGUAAAGGGUGCGUAGGCGGUCUGCUAAGUUUGAUGUGAAAUCCCGGGGCUCAACCCUGGAAUGGCAUUGAAUACUGGUGGACUAGAGUACUGGAGAGGAAACUGGAAUUUACGGUGUAGCAGUGAAAUGCGUAGAGAUCGUAAGGAAGACCAGUGGCGAAGGCGGCGACCUGGGCCAAUAUUGACGCUGAGGUGCGAAAGCGUGGGGAGCAAACAGG
rnacentral:rRNA from 1 species